rnacentral:rRNA from 1 species
AUUGAACGCUGGCGGCAUGCCUUACACAUGCAAGUCGAACGGUAACGCGGGGCAACCUGGCGACGAGUGGCGAACGGGUGAGUAAUGCAUCGGAACGUGCCCAGUUGUGGGGGAUAACUGCCCGAAAGAGCAGCUAAUACCGCAUACGACCUGAGGGUGAAAGCGGGGGAUCGACAGACCUCGCGCAAUUGGAGCGGCCGAUGUCGGAUUAGCUAGUUGGUGGGGUAAAGGCCCACCAAGGCAACGAUCCGUAGCUGGUCUGAGAGGACGACCAGCCACACGGGGACUGAGACACGGCCCAGACUCCUACGGGAGGCAGCAGUGGGGAAUUUUGGACAAUGGACGCAAGUCUGAUCCAGCCAUGCCGCGUGCGGGAAGAAGGCCUUCGGGUUGUAAAGCUCUUUCGGCCGGGAAGAAAUCGCACGGGCUAAUACCCUGUGUGGAUGACGGUACCGGAAUAAGAAGCACCGGCUAACUACGUGCCAGCCGCCGCAGUAACAC